UGGGGAAUAUUGCACAAUGGAGGGAACUCUGAUGCAGCGACGCCGCGUGAACGAAGAAGGCUUUCGAGUCGUAAAGUUCUUUUAUAUGGGAAGAUAAUGACGGUACCAUAAGAAAAAGCCCCGGCUAACUACGUGCCAGCAGCCGCGGUAAUACGUAGGGGGCUAGCGUUGUCCGGAAUCACUGGGCGCAAAGGGUUCGCAGGCGGAAAUGCAAGUCAGGUGUAAAAGGCAGUAGCUUAACUACUGUAAGCAUUUGAAACUGCAUAUCUUGAGAAGAGUAGAGGUAAGUGGAACUUUUAGUGUAGCGGUGAAAUGCGUAGAUAUUAAAAAGAAUACCGGUGGCGAAGGCGACUUACUGGGCUCAUUCUGACGCUGAGGAACGAAAGCGUGGGUAGCAAACAGG
rnacentral:rRNA from 1 species